AAUUUUGGACAAUGGGGGAAACCCUGAUCCAGCCAUCCCGCGUGUAUGAUGAAGGCCUCCGGGUUGUAAAUCACUUUUGGCAGGGAAGAAAAGGCUCUGGCUAAUACCUGGAGCUGCUGACGGUACCGGCAGAAUAAGCACCGGCUAACUAUGUGCCAGCAGCCGCGGUAAUACGUAGGGUGCAAGCGUUAAUCGGAAUUACUGGGCGUAAAGCGUGUGUAGGCGGUUCGGAAAGAAAGAUGUGAAAUCCCAGGGCUCAACCUUGGAACUGCAUUUUUAACUGCCGAGCUAGAGUAUGUCAGAGGGGGGUAGAAUUCCACGUGUAGCAGUGAAAUGCGUAGAUAUGUGGAGGAAUACCGAUGGCGAAGGCAGCCCCCUGGGAUAAUACUGACGCUCAGGUACGAAAGCGUGGGGAGCAAACAG
rnacentral:rRNA from 1 species